rnacentral:rRNA from 1 species
GAUGAACGCUGGCGGCGUGCCUAACACAUGCAAGUCGAACGAAGGUAUAUAUAGGAAGUCUUCGGAUGGAAUAUGUAUAACCUAGUGGCGGACGGGUGAGUAACGCGUAAGUAAUCAACCUGUGACACACGGAUAACUGAUAGAAAUGUCAGCUAAUACGAGAUGAACUGUUUAAAUUGGGAAAUGGAAACAGCAAAGCGAAAGCGGUCACAGACGAGCUUGCGUCUGAUUAGCUAGUUGGUGGGGUAAGAGCCUACCAAGGCGACGAUCAGUAGCCGGCCUGAGAGGGUGAACGGCCACAUUGGAACUGAGACACGGUCCAAACUCCUACGGGAGGCAGCAGUGGGGGAUAUUGCACAAUGGGGGGAACCCUGAUGCAGCAACGCCGCGUGAGUGAAGAAGGCCCUAGGGUCGUAAAGCUCUGUCGUAUGGGAAGAAGAAAAUGACUUACCAUACAAGAAGCCCCGCAUC